AGUUUUGCUCUUUUUUUUUUCUUUUUUUUUUUUUUGAGACGGAGUUUCGCUCUUGUUGCUCAGGCUGGAGUGCAGUGGCGUGAUCUCAGCUCACUACAACCUCUGCCUCCCGAGUUCAAGCGAUUCUCCUGCCUCAGCCUCCCAAGUAGCUGGGAUUACAGGCCUGCACCACCAGACCCAGCUAAUUUUGUAUUUUUAGUAGAGACGGGGUUUCACCAUGUUGGCCAGGCUUGUCUUGAACUCCCGACCUCAAGUGAUCUCCCUGUUUUGGCCUCCCAAAGUGCUAGGAUUACAGGCGUGAGCCACCACACCCAGCCUCACGUGGAUUUUUGAUAAAGCAAGGUUCUUCUGUGAUAGCAGCAGGCCUCCAUUAUCCUGGUCAAUUGGCCUGCACAACUAGGGAAACAAUGGUGGAAAACUUCGAGAAGCUUGUGUUCCACCUGCCACCAAUGGAGAAAGCACCACUCCACUGUGACAUGCUUCCUGAUGACUCGCUGAACAGAAGGAUGCACCCUCAGCCACCAAGGGUGUAGUUUGUGGGUGCCUCCUGGGAACAUCAGGUUGGCAACACAAAUGCCAGCCCCUCACCCUAGAGUGAUUUCAGAGUGUCUCAUCUCUUAACUCUGAGUCACAGAGCGGUGGGGAGGAAGACAUGGGGGAGCCUGAGGGGCCUGGCAGUGGGACUGAGGCUCUGGGCCUUCCUGCUCCCCUGGGUUUGACCCAGACUCCAGCUACCCAGGCAUUGCCAGGCAGUAUCCUGGGGAAAGGUGGGACCUGCUGCUUCCCACGCCUGCCCUGUGGGAUGGGGAGGGCUUGGGGAAGGUGCUGCUAUGCCCUGAGUCCCCGGAGCCAAAGACUCCCGAGGGUGACAAGCAGCCCUGCCCGACCUCAGGCCCAGGGGUGAUGGCUGUUGGUGGCUCCCAGGCUGAGUCACUGUAGCCUUCCCGUCACUCUCUCUGACACCCAGAGACUGGGUCCUGCCAUCCUGGGGUAAGGCAGGGGGCAGGAAGGUGCUUUCGAGAAUGUAGCCCUGGCCGGGCACAGUGGCUCACGCCUGUAAUCCCAGCACUUUGGGAGGCAGAGGUGGGCAGAUCACCUGAGGUCAGGAGUUUGAGACCAACCUGGCCAACAUGGUGAAACCACUAAAAAUACAACAUAUACUAAAUUACUAAAUAAAAAAAAUACUAAAUACAAAAAGUACUAAAAAUACAAAAAAGUAGCUGAGCGUGGUGGUGCACACCUGUAAUCCCAGCUGCUUCAGAGGCUCAGGCAGGAGAAUCGCUUGAACCUGGGAGGUAGAGGAUGCAGUGAGCUGAAAUCGUGCCACUGUACUCCAGUCUGGGAGACAGAGCGAGACUCUGUCUCAUAAAUAAAUAAAUAAUAAAUAAAUAAAUAAAUACGUAGCUGUGCCAGAGGCUUAGGGAACUGGGAGUGUCUUAGGGAACUGGGGACCUAGGAGGGGAGGCCACGUGGGUAGGGCUCCCACCCCACUCACUUCAACUGGACAUUCUCAGUUCAGGAAGUGAUUUUGUUAUUGUUGUUGUUGAGCUUCUGAGUAAAAUUUCCUGUGAAAAGGGGUUUAGCAGGCGGGCGCAGUGGCUCAAGCCUGUAAUCCUACCACUUUGAGAGGUCAAGGCAGGAGGAUCGCUUGAACCCAGGAGUUCAAGACCAGUCAGGGCAGCAUGGUGAAACCUUCUCUACAAAAAAAAAAAAAAAAAAAAAAAAAAAAAAAAAAUUAGCUGGGGGUUGUGGCGUGCACCUGUAGUCUCAGCUACUCGGGAGGCUGAGGUGGGAGGAUCACUUGAGCCCACGAGGUUGAGGCUGCAGUGAAUGGCAAUCACACCAUUGGACUACAACCUGGGUGAGAGAGUGAGACACUGUCUCAAAAAAACAAAAA
rnacentral:lncRNA from 1 species